rnacentral:lncRNA from 1 species
GCAAAAUAUUCUUGUAGACAUAGAAGAGACGAUCCUCCCACCAGCAAACAUUCAAAAAUGAGCCAUGCUGCAGAUAUGACUCAUGUAAUCACACCUAUAAUACUCAUUUCAACUAUGUGGUCAAUAGGGGUGGACUAAAAUUGGAGUGGUAAGGGUCAGCACACCAGCAAUAACAUGAACUUUCUGCUCCUCACUAUCAGCAAUGCAGUGACCUAUAUCCAUACAACCCAUGGUACCAAUGGACUAUGUCACUGCUCAGACUCACUUAUUAGAUAUAUGUGGGUGCAAGUGCAUACAAUACAGUUAUGGACCCUUGUAGGACCAACUCAUCUCAAAUUAACUAAUUAUUAGAUGAAUUUGGAUAUCUCAUAUCAUAGGACAAAGUUACUCAAGUAUAAAAUAGUAAAUCACUUUCAGAAAAGAUGUAAACCAACACAGACUUCUGAUUCUUGAUUGCAUGAAAAAGUUGCUCAUUUAAGAACAUUCUUGGUUGCCUAGCGUGGAGGCGCAGGAGGCAGAACAAGGGGUAGGCAGAACCAUGGUAGGCAACCUACCCCUUACCUUCUUCAUAUUAGUAGAGAUAAAAGUUUGAGUGGCAAGUACAAACCCAAAUGUUGAUAACAAUUUGUUAAUAUUAACAACUUCCUUCACCCGAAACCAUAUUUUUAUCUUCCAUUUCCAUAUUUCUCAUUUGGUAGCAGUUGAUGAUCUUUAUAGCAACCCUAUGUCAUGUAAGGUUAUGCUCUGCAAUCUUCACUUUUCCAAAUGUACCAAUACCUAAAUUUCUUCCUAGGCUGUAGUUCGUUAAUGCUUCAGAAUGUUCACCCCCUCUAGGGAAAAUGUAAACAAAUAUUCCAUCCAUCCUAAUUUAUAAUUUGUUUGAUUUUUUAAAUGAUGGCUUCAAAUGUGCAAUGUAAAUAAGGGUUCUCUAAGAUACAUGAUUUCCCCAAAAUUAAAACAACCAAUGUUCAACGAAUUUUCUGAGAUUGCAGCUAAUUUCAGUCGAAAAUUAGUCAUGUCUAAGUGUAUAGAGAUAUGGUAGAUUAAUAUAUAGUAUAAACCUGCACGUACUCAUUAGGAAAAAAAUGUAAAUACAUGUGUGAAAUUAUCUAACAAUUCUUCAAAUGGUAUUUGUCCACGGUAGGUAGGCUAGGUGUUCCCUUAGUUUUUGUGCAAAAUAUGGAGGAUGAAUCACUCGAUGACUAUUGAAGUAAAGAAUACAAAACAAUUGUGUUGUUUUAGUUUUUUUUUUGCUGAACCUUGUGAACUGCUAGUAAGAUAUUUAGUCAAAGCUUAUUUGCAUCCAUCGGAGAGCCAAUGCAAAUAGUAAAAAAAAUCAGCACCAAGUCCAGCUAAAAGAUGGGUAACACGUUAUCAG